rnacentral:lncRNA from 1 species
CAUGAUUGCAUUUGGCACCAGGUCCCCUGUAUUUUGCCGUGACCUUCCACAUCCUCCACUCAUCAGUGGCCCUGGUGUUGAAAUCUUCUACUGACAAUACCUGAAAAAAAUCUGUUACUAAAAGUGUAUCCAUGCCUGAUGUCAAGAGGUACAACCUGGCACCUGACAAUGACCAGAGACUGCCCGCUCCUGCUGGUGAACAGGCAGCACAACCUAUUGCUUGAACUAAUUGCAAGAAGGUAUUCUUGCAUACCAAACCGAGAGAGUAUUCUGCAAGAACACAGGAAUCGUAUUAUGAAACAUGGGACAGACUUAGCAUUAAAGAAGAGAAGGUCUCAGAAAGCCACGAGUCUCUUUCCAAGUGAGGAUGAAUUGUGAGGAUGAGAAUAACAUGAUGCUAUUUGUACACCACCCAAUAUACCAUUCAUGCCCUUUAAAAAUCUUGGUUAUUUUUGGUACCUUUGAGCCCCUAGUUUUCCCAGUGUACUCCAAGGUGGAAUGGCCUCUGCCUCAAUGUGUCUGUAGAACAAAUCUUUCCAAAGUUGCUCAUGGGUGGUCAUGGAAAAAAAGCUUGUUCAAAUAAGUUUGGGAAAUACUGCACAUUUCCAUUUUGGAGAUUCACAAAGCACAUUGGCAACUUACAGGUCUUGAGAAUAUUUCUUCUGUUCCCUUGGUUAUUUAAAACGUGAAAUCCAAACUCCUUGCCAGGUUUAAAAGUCAACAGACCUGUCCCACUUUACCUGAUCAGUGUUACUUUCCCGGGAGGCAGACACAUCACUGCUGCUCCCACCUUACGUAUCCGCACUUCUGGGCCUUCUCUCACAUUCCUCCGUCCUCUAGAAAUGCCUUUCUCAGCCUCCCCGCGGACUCCACACUUCAGGCAAAGCACCAGUUCAAGAUUCAUGUCCUAACGACUAUUCCCCACAGUGAACUUUCUCAGAACUGUAUCUACAAAAGGAGGUGUCACGUCAGUGUGAUCCCUUCUAUGAUGCCUUGGGAUUAUUGUCUGGGGUGUGAUAUAUGCCGUUUGUAGGCAAAGCUCAUGAGAGCCCCUAAAUGUGCUAUGGACACCAUGGGUCUUGUAGAAAAAAUACUUCUUGAUGUGUAUCCUGGUGGAUGUGCCAAUGGCUGGCUUUGUUCCCUUAUAAAACCUCUUACACAGCUUGUCUCUCUGUGAAUUAGCAAUCACUGGGUAAUGACUGAACAUAUGUGUUCUGUCUAUGUUUAAUUACUCUGAUAUUCCUCAAAUUAAGUGCAAUGUAUGCUACAACAGAUUCUAUCUAAAACUGUAUAAUGUUGGGCAUAUUCAAAGUUAAGAAUAUGCUCCUGGAAAUGGAAGUCUUUUUACCUGCAUGAAUAUUAAGAGGUUAUUUUUAUU